rnacentral:rRNA from 1 species
UCCAGACUCCUACGGGAGGCAGCAGUGGGGAAUAUUGGACAAUGGGGGGAACCCUGAUCCAGCGACGCCGCGUGAGUGAAGAAGUAUUUCGGUAUGUAAAGCUCUAUCAGCAGGGAAGAAAGAAAUGACGGUACCUGACUAAGAAGCCCCGGCUAACUACGUGCCAGCAGCCGCGGUAAUACGUAGGGAGCAAGCGUUGUCCGGAAUUACUGGGCGUAAAGGGCGCGUAGGUGGGCGCUUAAGUCAGGUGUGAAAGCUCCGGGCUCAACCUGGAGACUGCACUUGAAACUGGGUGUCUUGAGGGCAGGAGAGGAAAGUGGAAUUCCUAGUGUAGCGGUGAAAUGCGUAGAUAUUAGGAGGAACACCGGCGGCGAAGGCGGCCUGCUGGACCGCGACUGACGUUGAGGCUCGAAAGCGUGGGGAGCGAACAGGAUUAGAUACCCGAGUAC